rnacentral:misc_RNA from 1 species
UUAUAGAGCNNCGUGAGUGGUGUUUGGCGUGUUGCGGGUGGUUGGAUGACUACAUAUGUAGCAACGUCCAUCCGUGCAUGCCUCUUCAUUGUUGCCAAGGUUGCAUAUUUUUGGGCAAUGGUUGGGAUUUUCUGUGCUGUGUUCCAACUUGAUGGUAUCCAAAUGUUUGCUUGAUGUCCCUUUUCAUUUUGCGUUGCUCAUGCGACGUUGGAUGAACCUUGAAGCUAUCUCUUUGAUUCGUACCAUUGAUGAAAAUGCGUCUUUGGCAUGAAUCAUGGAGCGUUGCUUGGUAUUGUGGGUACAGAAUCUUUUGUGGGCAUUUGGGGCAUUUAUGGCCUUGUGUUUGUCCUUUUUGAGCGUUCUCGCUUUCUAAAAACGACAGUCGGUUGCGUGUUGACAUGUUCAAGUGCUUCUGACGUUGUCAAAGAGGAAUGCUACCUGGUUGAUCCUGCCAGUAGUCAUAUGCUUGUCUC